UUCUCUUUCAAGUUCUGUACACGAAUCUAGUUCUUAUAAAAAAGGAAACAAAAAAAAUCAAGCUUACCUUCUUCACUUUUCUUUAGUAUGGAUCCCGUAAAAACCGAAAAAAACAGCGACGGCGCAGAUGAUUGGUGCUCUGAAUGCUGGGAAUUCUGGGUUUCUGUUUGCUGUUGUUGCCUUGAAACUAGUUGUUAAUCAAAAUUUCGGCAUGGAUUAGCCGACGCUGGCGGCGGAUGGUGGUGUUUUUUUCUUGAAAUUAGGGUUUGCUGGAGAUCAAUAGGGAUGGGUUUCUAGGGUUUCCUUUGAUGAGCUGUGUGUUUAGAUAUUAUCGAAACGUUUGUUUCUGUUCGUUUGGUGUUUGUAAUAAUUCGCAGUUUAUCUCUGAUAAACUCUUCCUUAUAAACUUUUUCAAUUAAACAGUUUUUCAUUUCUAUCGUUGGUUAAUUCUGUUUUUAAGCUAAUUCAUUGAUUAAAUUGGUGAAUUGGGUGUUGAUUAUAUUCGUCCGAAGAAAUCUAUUAUCAAUUGAUUAGGAUAGGGUAGAUUGGAAAGUUCAAAGUUGUUAAAUCCAGAGUAUUUCUGAAAUUCAGGAAUGGCCAAGGCAGUUUCCAGCCAGGAAAUAGCCUACGGAUAAUAGGCAUUUAACUUGUGGAUCCUGUAGUUGUUACUUGCAAUCCUAGUUCAGAGAGUACUAAUCCAGUGUCCACUAUAGGUAAAACUUUCCAAAAUUUUAUGUCAAGCAAACAUCCUUGGAUUUGUUCUCUGUUUUUUUCUCAUCACCAAUACCAAAUUCGAUUACUUGAGGUAAGUCUGACAUGUAUGGUGAUAAUUAGUUCUGUAAUUUGAUCUCUGGUAUCUGAUCACGGUUUCGUAUCUUUUUGACUGUCGAUGCAGCAUAGAACUUUCCUUUUUCUGCAAUACAUGAGUAAAUGAAUUGCAGAAACUCUCUUUUACUGCAAUCAAGUUUGAGGACUAUGUUAUGUAUAUCAUGCUAGUAUUUUGCAUUAAUAUUUGUUAUCUGUCCAUGUGAAAAGUUUCCUUUGCACUUUGUUCUCAAGAAACCUAUCUUCUUGUCAAAAUGGUACCGGAUACACGAUAAACACGGUGAGCUUAGGUGUUAUCAGGGUUUUGGUUAAAUUUUCUACGAGUUGUGACAAGCUCGUUACAUAGGAUAUCCAUUUUUGUCCUGGUUAUUUGGUUCUGGUAGGAUGUGUUUAUUAGUGGAUUUCGACAUGGCUUCAAGUAUUAUUGACUGUGUAAGUCUGACACGAAUAGUGAUAAUUAGUUCCCUAAUUUGGUCUCUGGUGUUUGAUUAGGGUUUCAUAUCUUUUUGGUAUCUUUUUCAAUUCUGCAAUAGGCAUAUAGAUAGAUUGCAAAAACUUUCUUUUUCUGUAGUCAGAGUUUGAGGACUAUAUUGUGUAUGCAUCAUGCUAGCGUUCUGCAUAAUUGUGUUUCAUUUUGACCAGAUGAAGCAUUUGGUAUUUUGAUUUCUUAACAUAAGUUUCUUGAAAACAAAAUUAGAUAUGUUUCUCCUUGUUGUGGAGUGUGGCUUAUAGUGUUUUAGUUGUUGACAAAAGCGGCCAAAUUCAGAUUUUACUCCAGAACUCAGUGGCGGAACCAGGAUUUCAAACAACCGUAAUAAUGAACAUUCGCAACGGAGUAGUUGUUUUCUGUGUCCAUGCAAUUCUAUCAUGCAAGUAAACCUAGUAGAUAUCAUAAGCAUAAUCUACAAGCAUUACUAGAAUUCCUUGUGUCCAGAUCUCAAGGUGAUUCUAACGUUUUAGGUGGUCUCAGCCUGAUUUCUCUUGCAAUCAAAUCACGGACAUGUAUAUCGCAAGAUCUUGUUAGACCAAGUUUUGGGAACCGGAAAAAUAGCUUAUGGAGUCGGAAAUAUUGUCAGCAAAACGGAAGCAUAACUUGCUUGCUAGUAGGAAAGCUUCUAAAUCUUGUCUCCAGAGCAUAUUCCAUAAACAUUUGCAGCAGCACUGCACAGUGUUAGAACUUGGAACUUGGUGGAACAAACAGGCCAACUUAUUGGACCUGGUGGGCCAAAUGCAUCGCACCUGGGUUUCAUAUGAUUUAUAUGAAGUUUCCUAAGGCCUAAGGGGGUGGCGGAGAAUAUCAAUGUCCAAGGAAAGGUGGUGUCAUUUGAAGAGAAUUUGAACGGGUUUAGAAUAUGUCCUGGCCCUCUAAAUACGAUAUCCAUCUGAUUGUUUGUGUAUGUUCAUACCAAAAACGUGGAUUCACGUAAUUUCAGAUCAGUCAUGAUAAAGCUACUACACGAUACCGGUAA